rnacentral:lncRNA from 1 species
AGAGAGAGAGAGAUGGUUCAUGUGAUUCACGCAAUUUGUUGAUCAUUUAGCGUGUGGUUUGACCACCACCAAACGUUUGUUAGGUAAGGAAAAUUUGAAGUUGAAACUAUAGGCGUAGAUGCUGAUAUCUUGUACGAUAUUGACUUUAAAACUAUUACAUAUUUGUGCAACAUUAUGGAGUUUAGGAUCUGCUAAAUUACAUUGUUCAUUAUAUUUACAUAUAGAGGUUAGCUAAGAAUGAAUGGAUGGCUCGGUCCACUGUGUAAGUAAUUAAUUUGCGUACUGAACUCCUUUUGAAUCAAGCUCGGAUAUGAUUGAAUCAGAUGAUGUGUCAAUUUCCAUCUCCUUUCUUAACUCCUCGCACACGUUCACACACUAAUCAGAACCAUUCAUAUAUUAUAUUCCUCCAAGAGACUUGAUUGAAGUUUCCGUGGCUCAAUGACUGUCAUAUUAUUUUUAUUUCUCCAUUACCUGUAUUCUAUUACCGCAACUCCGUCAUAUGUUCGUUAUAUGUUCCAACAAAAAAGAACGAGUCAGCUACAAUGUUGGACCGUAAAGAUACUUGGAUCAAGCCCGUUUGAUCUGAAACGAAGGGCUCUAGUUUCAGUAUCCCUCAGUCAACUCCUACACGCUCCAAAAGAGACCUAAUUAGCUCCAGUUUCCGCACGCUGACACGUGUCUACGGACGGACGCAAGUUACCGUUUUCCACACGCCGACGGAGCGGAGAAGGUUGGUGAGACGGCAACAAUCGCCUCGCCAAGUCGGCAUCUAAUAAUCCAGGCGUCUCCAUCCCCAAGCAAGCAUCCCCUCCCUUUCAUCCGUCGGAUAAAACAACCUUUCCGAUCGACGGUCUGGAUUUCCUUUCUCCAUUACUGAUAGAUAUGGUGGGUCCCCCGGCUAGGUACCAAACCCACCAAGAACUGCUGACGCCCACUGACGUCACUCGGCCAGCGGUCCACCUGUUCCGGCUCGCGGUAGGUAAGACCGAGCCCAGACCCGAGCCGGCCGGACUUUUUCUCUCACUGAAGCGGGCAUCGCACGUAGGACCGGGUAUGCGUUAGGUAAAUGCUGACAUGGCAAACUUGGAGCGGU